rnacentral:rRNA from 1 species
UGGUGGAGCGAUUUGUCUGGUCAAUUCCGAUAACGAACGAGACUCUAGCCUACUAAAUAGUUCGGGGACCCCCACAAAGGGGCCCCGCUUCAACUUCUUAAAGGGACAGGUGGCGUUUAGCCACACGAGAUUGAGCAAUAACA